rnacentral:rRNA from 1 species
UAAUACGGGGGGUGCGAGCGUUGUUCGGAUUCACUGGGUAUAAAGGGUGCGCAGGCGGCUUGAUAAGUCAGAGGUGAAAUUCGUCGGCUCAACCGACGGACUGCCCCUGAAACUGUCUCGCUUGAGUCCGGGAGAGGAAGGUGGAAUUCCAGGUGUAGCGGUGAAAUGCGUAAAUAUCUGGAGGAACACCGGUGGCGAAGGCGGCCUUCUGGCCCGGAACUGACGCUCAGGCACGAAAGCUAGGGGAGCGAACGGGAUUAGAUACCCCGGUAGUCCUAGCCGUAAACGAUGGGUACUAGGUGUUGGAGGAUUCUACCCCUUCAGUGCCGCAGCUAAUGCAUUAAGUACCCCACCUGGGGAGUACGAUCGCAAGGUUGAAACUCAAAUGAAUUGACGG